rnacentral:rRNA from 1 species
CAGUCGCCGCGGGAAUACAGAGGGUGCGAGCGUUAAUCGGAUUUACUGGGCGUAAAGCGCGCGUAGGUGGUUUGUUAAGUUGGAUGUGAAAGCCCCGGGCUCAACCUGGGAACUGCAUCCAAAACUGGCAAGCUAGAGUACGGUAGAGGGUGGUGGAAUUUCCUGUGUAGCGGUGAAAUGCGUAGAUAUAGGAAGGAACACCAGUGGCGAAGGCGACCACCUGGACUGAUACUGACACUGAGGUGCGAAAGCGUGGGGAGCAAACAGGAUUAGAUACCCCGGUAGUCCCUGUCUCUUAUAC